ACGGAGGAUGCGAGCGUUAUCCGGAUUUAUUGGGUUUAAAGGGUGCGUAGGCGGAAAAAUAAGUCAGUGGUGAAAACCUUCAGCUUAACUGGAGACUUGCCAUUGAUACUGUUAUUCUUGAGUAUAGUUAAGGUAGGCGGAAUGUGUAAUGUAGCGGUGAAAUGCGUAGAUAUUACCCAUGACGCCAAAUGGGAAGGCAGCUUACUGAGCUAUAACUGACGCUGAUGCCCGAAAGCGUGGUGAGCGGACAG
rnacentral:rRNA from 1 species